CUCUUUUUGAUUAUAAUUUAAAGUUGGGCCUGCCCACUGAUUUUUGAAGGGCCGCAGUAUUUUGACUGUGCAAAGGUAGCAUAAUCAUUAGUUUUUUAAUUGAAAGCUUGUAUGAAUGGUUUGAUGAGAAAGUUUCUGUUUCAAUUUUAAUAUAUAGAAUUUUAUUUUUAAGUAAAAAAGCUUAAAUAAAUUUUAAAGACGAGAAGACCCUAUAGAGUUUAACUAAAUUUUAAAUUUAAAAUUUUAGAAUUUAAUAUUUUAAAUUUAAAUUAAGUUUUGUUGGGGUGACAAAAAAAUUAAAAAAACUUUUUUUUAAUUAAAACAAUAAUUUUUGAUUUAUUGAUCCAUAAAAAUGAUUAAAAGAUUAAAUUACCUUAGGGAUAACAGCGUAAUCUUUUUUGAAAGUUCUUAUUGAAAAAAGGGGUUGCGACCUCGAUGUUGGAUUAAAAUUAAUUUUUGGCGGAGAAGCUAAAAAAUUAGGUCUGUUCGACCUUUAAAAUUUUACAUGAUCUGAGUUUAAACCGGUGUGAGCCAGGUUGGUUUCUAUCUUAAAAUAAAGAAAAUAUUUUAGUACGAAAGGAUUAAAUAUUUUAUUUUAAAUAUUUAUUUUGAAUAAAAUUUUUAUUUUGGCAGAAUAGUGCGAAGGAUUUAGAAUCUUUUAAUGUAAUUAAUUACAAAUAAAAAUUGAUUUAAUUUUAAUAUUUUUAAAUUUUUUAAUUUUAUUUAUNNGNNUNUUNGU
rnacentral:rRNA from 1 species